GACGAACGCUGGCGGCGUGCCUAAUACAUGCAAGUCGAGCGGACUUUCAAGAAGCUUGCUUUUUGAAAGUUAGCGGCGGACGGGUGAGUAACACGUGGGCAACCUGCCUGCAAGACGGGGAUAACUCCGGGAAACCGGGGCUAAUACCGGAUAAUAUCUUCCUUCGCAUGAAGGAAGGUUGAAAGGCGGCGCAAGCUGCCGCUUGCAGAUGGGCCCGCGGCGCAUUAGCUAGUUGGUGAGGUAACGGCUCACCAAGGCGACGAUGCGUAGCCGACCUGAGAGGGUGAUCGGCCACACUGGGACUGAAACACGGCCCAGACUCCUACGGGAGGCAGCAGGAGGGAAUCUUCCCAAAGGGACGAAAGUCUGACGGAGCAACGCCGGGGGGGGGAAGAAGUUCUUCGGAUCUUAAAGCUUUUUUGUCAGGGAAGAACAAGUACCGUUCGAACAGGGCGGUACCUUGACGGUACCUGACCAAAAAGCCACGGCUAACUACGU
rnacentral:rRNA from 1 species